rnacentral:rRNA from 1 species
CCUACGGGAGGCAGCAGUAGGGAAUCUUCCACAAUGGGCGAAAGCCUGAUGGAGCAACGCCGCGUGAGUGAAGAAGGUUUUCGGAUUGUAAAGCUCUUUCGGAUGUGACGAUAAUGACGAUAGCAGCUAAAGAAGCCCCGGCUAACUUCGUGCCAGCAGCCGCGGUAAUACGAAGGGGGCAAGCGUUGUUCGGAAUUACUGGGCGGAAAGGGAGUGUAGGCGGUUUAGUAAGAUAGUGGUGAAAUCCCAGAGCUUAACUUUGGAAUGGCCAGUAUAACUAUUAGACUAGAAUUACAGAGAGGAUAGUGGAAUACCCAGUGUAGAGGUGAAAUUCGUAGAUAUUGGGUAGAACACCAGUGGCGAAGGCGACUAUCUGGCUGUACAUUGACGCUGAGGCUCGAAAGCAUGGGGAUCAAACAGGAUUAGAUACCCGAGUAGUC